AGAGCACUCCUACGGGAGGCAGCAGUCGGGGAAUAUUGCACAAUGGGCGCAAGCCUGAUGCAGCCGAUGCCGCGUGUAUGAAGAAGGCCUUCGGGUUGUAAAGUACUUUCAGCAGUGAGGAAGGUGGGUAUGUUAAUAGCAUAUUCAUUUGACGUUUAGCUGCAGAAGAAGCACCGGCUAACUCCGUGCCAGCAGCCGACGGUAAUACGGAGGGUGCGAGCGUUAAUCGGAAUUACUGGGCGUAAAGCGCAUGCAGGUGGUUUGUUAAGUCAGAUGUGAAAGCCCGGGGCUCAACCUCGGAAUUGCAUUUGAAACUGGCAAACUAGAGUACUGUAGAGGGGGUAGAAUUUCAGGUGUAGCGGUGAAAUAGCGUAGAGAUCUGAAGGAAUACCGGUGGCGAAGGCGGCCCCCUGGACAGAUACUGACACUCAGAUGCGAAAGACGUGGGGAGCAAACAGGAUUAGAUAACCUGGUAG
rnacentral:rRNA from 1 species